UACGUAGGGUGCGAGCGUUAAUCGGAAUUACUGGGCGUAAAGGGCGCGUAGGCGGCCCGCUAAGUCGAACGUGAAAUCUCCGAGCUCAACUCGGGAACUGCGUCCGAUACUGGCGGGCUUGAAUCCGGGAGAGGAUGCGGAAUUCCAGGUGUAGUGGUGAAAUGCGUAGAUAUCUGGAGGAACACCGGUGGCGAAGGCGGCAUCCUGGACCGGUAUUGACGCUGAGGCGCG
rnacentral:rRNA from 1 species